rnacentral:rRNA from 1 species
GGCCCAGACUCCUACGGGAGGCAGCAGUGAGGAAUAUUGGUCAAUGGCCGGAAGGCUGAACCAGCCAAGCCGCGUGAAGGACGAAGGUGCCAAGCAUUGUAAACUUCCUUUGUCAAGGGACAAAAUCAGGCUCGAGAGCCUGACCGAGGGUACUUGAAGAAAAAGCAUCGGCUAACUCCGUGCCAGCAGCCGCGGUAAUACGGAGGAUGCGAGCGUUAUCCGGAUUUAUUGGGUUUAAAGGGUGCGUAGGCGGACUGUUAAGUCAGCAGUAAAAGCCCGGGGCCCAACCCCGGGACUGCUCUGGAAACUGCGUCGCUGGAGUACGGGAGGGGCAGGCGGAAUUCCUGGUGUAGCGGUGAAAUGCGUAGAUAUCAGGAGGAACACCGGCGGCGAAGGCGGCCUGCUGGACCGUGACUGACGUUGAGGCUCGAGAGCGUGGGGAGCAAACAGGAUUAGAUACCCCCGUACCC